rnacentral:rRNA from 1 species
CCUACGGGUGGCAGCAGUGAGGAAUAUUGGUCAAUGGGCGUAAGCCUGAACCAGCCAAGUCGCGUGAGGGAUGAAGGUUCUAUGGAUCGUAAACCUCUUUUAUGAGGGAAUAAAGUGUGGGACGUGUCCUGUUUUGUAUGUACCUUCUGAAUAAGGAUCGGCUAACUCCGUGCCAGCAGCCGCGGUAAUACGGAGGGUCCGAGCGUUAUCCGGAUUUAUUGGGUUUAAAGGGUGCGUAGGCGGCAUUUUAAGUCAGCGGUUAAAGUCUUGGGCUUAACCAUUGAAUUGCCGUUGAAACUGGCAGGCUUGAGGACGUGUGAGGCAUGCGGAAUGCGUGGUGUAGCGGUGAAAUGCUUAGAUAUCACGCAGAACCCCGAUUGCGAAGGCAGACUACCAAUCCGUGACUGACGCUGAUGCACGAAAGCGUGGGGAUCAAACAGGAUUAGAUACCCCAGUAGUC